GACGAACCGUACGAACGUUAUUCGGAAUCACUGGGCUUAAAGGGUGCGUAGGCGGCGCUGAAAGUUGGGUGUGAAAUCCCUCGGCUCAACCGAGGAACCGCAUUCAAAACUACAGUGCUUGAGGGAGACAGAGGUGAGCGGAACUUAGGGUGGAGCGGUGAAAUGCGUUGAUAUCCUAAGGAACACCCGUGGCGAAAGCGGCUCACUGGGUCUCUUCUGACGCUGAGGCACGAAAGCUAGGGGAGCGAACGGG
rnacentral:rRNA from 1 species